rnacentral:tRNA from 1 species
AACUAUUUUGGCAGAGUUAAGUGCGAUAAAUUUAGAAUUUAUAAAUGUAAUUUUAGUUACAAGUAGU